rnacentral:rRNA from 1 species
UACAGAGGGGGCAAGCGUUAUUCGGAAUUAUUGGGCGUAAAGAGCGUGUAGGCGGUUUGGUAGGUCCGUUGUGAAAACUCGAGGCUCAACCUCGAGACGCCGAUGGAAACCAUCAGACUAGAGUCCGGAAGAGGAGAGUGGAAUUCCUGGUGUAGCGGUGAAAUGCGCAGAUAUCAGGAAGAACACCCGUGGCUAAGGCGGCUCUCUAGUACGGUACUGACGCUGAGACGCGAAAGCGUGGGGAGCGAACAGG